CGCGAGCGCUCCGCGAGGGGUGGAGUGCCUCUGGCGUUGCUCCUUUGUCCUUCGGCCGCUCCCCUGUGACAACACGGCCGUAUCUCGGGGGAAAAAGUAUCAGUUCCCCACGCCGUUUUUUGUUGAGGCACCUCAGGAAACCGCGGGAAGCGCGCUUGGUGUUUUCGAACAGCUCCACGAGCAGUUGUGCUUCUGCAAUCAAGGCAGCAGACAGAACGGAGACAGGAAAAGGUGAUGCCUGAGCUGAAGUGAACAACUCAGGGUCUCUGCUGAGCCCAAAGUGCACACUCAUCUUCCUGCUUUAUUGAAGGUCUCCCUGCUCCAAGACCUAUCAAGCACCCUUCACUGGAAGCUCUGCCACGGUAAUGGAGCCAGGAUGUGUCCUUGGGACUGGGCCAUGGGGUGCAAACCUGCAGGACCCUGGGGAGAGAGAAGGCUCUGGCAGCAAAGUGAGUGAUCAAAGUGGGCAAGGGCUGGGCAACAAGGGGAGGGAGCUCAGAGGUGAAAAGCUGCUAUAUAUUUGUAUAUUAUGGUAUAUAAUGCUGAUCUUAAAAUGGCAAACUCCAGAUCCUGCCUAUAUGAGCAAGUUUUAUGUGUUAUAUCAAUACAGUUGCAACAACAUGUAACUAUUGCAUUUAAUGCUGUAGAAUAGCUCCCAUGGGGCUUUUCCUAUAAGUCUUUGUUAUCAAAAGAGGUGUGACUUUCAUUUUUCUUUUUGGGCAGAUAGUUAAUACAUGGUAACUAUUUUCCAGUAAAAUCCAGGGGUGAUGAGAUUCCAAACACAAAUGCAGUGUUGGUGGGUGAGAGUAGCCAUGGGUCACUUGGCAUUGUGCAAGUGAAACGAUUCGGUCUCUGUGGUUAUUUCAGACUUGCUGUUGCUCUUUAUCUGCUGAGUUAACUUAAAAACCUGUCUCAGCACUUGUUCUGCUUGUGCAAAGAAACUGCACUGGCACAUUCAUCCCGGCCUGUGUAUCCAGGCCAGCAGAAGUUUCUAGUUCAGCCUGUCCUUCCUCGGUCGAGGGGACCAUCUCCUCAGCAAGCAGAGCUGGGCAAUUUGGCUGUGCUGUGCAGAGAAUCAGCCCAGGCUGGUGCAAACUCGGGAUCAUUUAUCAUCGGGGUCUGUGAUGGAUGAGGUGAUACGAAUUGGUGGCUUUGGUCCAUUAGUGUUGGAACCAACUGAUCUCCUUAUUGGCAGCCUCAGCUGGAAGUCUGGGGAAGACUCUUUGUGCCCUGUGGCACCUCUCCCUCCUCCUGGGAAGCUGCUGUCCUUCAGUGAGGACUGUGAGCCGUCAGCACAGUGACCCUUGAGAUUUUGCUGCCUCUGCUUUGCAGAGCUCUUGCUGCGAGGCCCAGAGUCAGCUCCCCAGUGACGCUGCCCAGGACCCCCAGGCAGGUGAGGCAGAUCCCACAGCUACUUUACAGCCUGGGAUUUGCGUGUCUGCAUAGUGGCUGGUUUGCAGCACUGAGUUAUUUGCAUUUGUGAGUGUGGUUUUUUCUGCCCCAGAUCCCACAGCGAGCUCUGCUCGGAGCUGCUGCUUCUCGCACGCAGCACAGCCCAGGCUGGCUCCCUCCUGCACCUCACCUGGUGCUUGCCACGGAUUCAGCAUUUCAAGUUCAAGUUAGCCCUGGCUUUUAAAGUCUAUUCCAACCCAUUUAACUCCUGAGCUUCGUGUGAAAAACAAAUGGGAAAUAUAAAAGCUUACAUCAGCUCCUGUAACUCGCAAACUAAAUGGGAAAGCUGCAGUAAAUUUACAGUCAGAAAAAGAACUGUGCUUUAUAUAAACGCUCACUUUGUUCAAAGACAGUUUAUUAGCAAAGGAUAAUUUUAGGUGACAGUUGUUGUUGAAGUAUUUUGUGCCUCUUUUUUUUGAUUACUACUACUUUUUAGUUAUACAGCAUAAUUCUUGAGCAGAUACUCAAACAAGCGAGAUUGGCUCAUCAUUCCUCUUUAAUUCCACAUCAUGUCACUUUGGAAGGGAAAUGGCUUGGUAAAAGCCAGAGAGUUCAGAUAUGAUGCUGGCAGAUCGUUAUGAAAUAUUCACAAGACAUUUAGUUUAACUUGGUGCUAAUUGAACACUGACAGCACAAGUUACUCCUGCCUGCAGCAAUAGUCUAUCACGUUUAGGCGAGUGGCAUUCCUUCCCCUUUGAUGCUCUCCGAGAUUGGAGGCUGUGAGGGAGCACAGUUAACAACCAGUAAACAGUCAGGGAGCAGCACUGGAGACGGAUCCUGCAUGGAGAAUCCUCCAAAAGUGGUGAGAGUUUAUUUGGACGGGGGCUGUGCUAAGGCUUCAACUCUGUCUAUGAAAAUACUCAGUAUUAGGUGAGGGGUGACUCAAAAUCGAUUGAGGUGUUUUUUUUUUUUAAAGUAAAAUACCUUCCUGAGUGAAGACACUUGAAAGCAAGGUUAUUUGUGGACUACCUAAUGUCACUUUUCUGAAGCCAUGGCCCAAAAGCCCUCCUUGCCCUGAGAGGUUUCCAGGGCAGUUAGAGCUAUACUGGUGUAACUCUGUUUUUCUACAGAGACAUGGCCUUGUGUGCUUCUCUCAUUUUUAUUUCUGUAGCUCAACAUGCUGUUUACUGAUAUUUGUGAAUUUUGUUUCUUAUUUGUCAGUUCAGCUUCCCUGUGGACAUUUGGUAACAGGAAUUUUCCUACCAUUUUAAUUGUCUCUUAUUCCAGAGCCAAGCAGAGUAUUAAUGCCAUCAUUUUAGUCAUCAGACAUGAUGUGUGGUCUAAAUAGCUUGGACCAGAACUGGGUACCCAGCUCUGCCUGAAGCCCUCUGGCCAUCUGUGGUUUAGAUGCAGUCAUCUGCCUUGGGUGCCUCAGUUUCCCAGUUAUGGAGAAAGGCCAAGUUGUUAAUCAAGGACUUUUCUCAUCUUCCCGUUUGGAGGAGUUUGCUCCAGGCUCCUCCUGUGUGGUCAGCACAGGGGGUGCCCAGCAGGAAUGUGCAGGAACAGCUGCCUCAGCAGGGACUUGCUCCCCCUGCACUGCAGCCCGUGCCAGGCACAUUGUGUCACUCCCAGUGCAGCUGAAGGACUGAGUGACUUCCACGUGCAGCAACACAUUAGAAAAGUGACCCAGAACAUUUUUAAUCUACCAGGGGAAAUGUCCCCAUCUGCCUAAUUCACCUGUCCCAGGGAGUUGAACUGGAGAUGGAGUCACAUAUGAGAAGGUGUUAAUGAAACUGUCACCGAAUACUGAGGUGACAGGGACUUAGAUCACAGGAGUUCCUCUAGCAAAUGGUGUGAGGACUGACUGAGCUCUUGCUGGCUGCAGAAAGGCAGGCAGUAGUGCAACCACCAUGGCUGACCAAAGGAGUAGGAGUAAAACCAGUGGUAACCAUGUAAGAGCACCAGCAGGUCAAAGGAAGGAAGACCCGCUGUUUGGUUUCCACAGGGAAAAUGGGCAUCCCCCUCCCCAUAGUCCUGAUGGGAAGCUACAGAUGAGUGUAAACAGCCAAGGAAGAUGAGUUAAAAUGUGAGGAAUAUUGCACAGGCAGCAGUCACAGCACAAACUGGUGUUGAGGCUGUGCUUUUCCCUUUGGAACAGAACUCCUUGGAAAUGGGGAGUGCUAAGAAAGGAUUUAAAGCAGGUAGCUGUGACUUCUUUGAAGCUUGGGGUAGGGUGGAGGGUGAAGGAUGCUUUCUGAUCUGGGCAGACUGGGAGGAGCAGGUGAUGACUUACUUUUGGAGUGAUCCCCACUUGCCUCCAGUGCCAAUCGUGGUACUGCAGGUGAGUGAAAUUGGGAUCACCCCAAGGGAACUUCUGUUUGAGGUAGGGGACACCCAGCUGGAAUUGCAGAGAGGGGGGACCAGGUAAAUAUAACAAGCAACCAAGAAAAAUAUCAUUUCACUAGCAGAAGGUUUUUCAGCCCAAGCAGAUUCUGGAUAUAAGGUCAUGGCUGAGCUGAAAGCCAUGGAAAUAGAGCUUUUCUGCCCUGGAAUUUUAUGCAGGUUGGCUGAUUGCUGUAGAUAGUGACCAGCUGGGAAAAUACACCUUGCUUUCAACAAAGACAUGGUCUUAAACAUAUUUUCAAAAGCCAAGGAUGAAAUACCGGACUAAAAGAGCUUCCAGGCUUCCUUUCCAUAGAACCCCCACUCCUGGAUUGCUGAAUAUCAUUCCCCCAGUGAUACUGUCCUUGGGAGGGCUGAAUAAACUUACAGUCCCCCUCUGUAGAGAAAAAGAAGUGGAUGGGGGGGACAAGAAAUGUCCCAUCCUCCACAGAGUCCUGCUCCAACUGGCUUCCACAAGCAUUGCUCUUCAGGAGGGAAAAUAAAUGAGGCUUUCAAAACUGUUUUACUUGAUUCAUUUCAUUCUGGGCUGGAGCAAGGCAAAUAGACAGUGGGAGGACUUCACUGAUAAAGUAAUUUAUUUUUUUUUUUCAAAAGCUGAGAAUACCAGAAGAUAACACAACAGCAAAUUACUGCAUAUUUUAAACCCUUGUAGCUAAACAUUCCCUUUUGGGGCUGCGCCAGGUAUCUUGUGGUGCCAGUGAAAAUGGGAUACAGAUGUUCACUUGUUUGGAUGGAGACACUGCAAUAAUUCAUGCCUGCUACAAAUUAUCAGAUGCCUCGUGCUCACAAAAGAAUACCAUGAUCUUCUUGUCAGUAAGAGGAAAAUAUAUUCCCUGUACCUAUAUUAAGGAAAAUAAGGCCUGUAAGAAGUAUGAAAUGUGUUUUCCAGUUUCCAAAAUGUAAUUGUGCUGUAGUCCUGCAGCUUGUGCUGGUAAAAGUGUGACAGCCCUGAUUCCAGUCCAAGUGUGUCCUCACUCCGAGUGUCUGGGACAGGUAUAUGGAGCGUUUAAUACCUCCUGUGAAAUGUGUGUGAACAGAGGAGGUUUGGGGGUUUUAUGUCUGAGAUUUUUUUAAAUUUUUAUUUUAACAAUUCCAGCUUUCAAUACUUGAGUAUUUUCGUAAGAUGAAUUAAGGUGUUUUUAAGAUGUUACCUCUGACUUUGUGGCGAAAAUAAUCUCAUUGAAGUCCGUGGCAACAGCGCUCAGGAAUGUGACGUGUCUGUUUUAAUGGACAUUAUGGAAAAGGGAGCUGCACACCCCAGAAACACAGAAGGAUGUGGCAGGGAGAAAGAGCUGAGCCCAUCACGCUGCAGCACAGCAGCAGGGCUGACACUCACCUUCUGCUUUGCUGUGUACAGCAGAGAGCUGCAAAACUGGCACCUGCCAAAAGGAUUUGUUACAUCCCUGAGUACCUGCACCGCUGCUUUCCCCCCGUUGUGCUCCCGUCAGGAGAGGUACAAACAGGUUCACACCUGCUGAGUAGCUUCAGGUUGAAGGAAUGCAUGUGCAAAUUUGGCAGGUAGAAAUUGCACUCUUUAAAUCAGACUCCACUUCUCGAAAUAGGAGCUCUCUGCUUUCCCUGCCUGCUGUUCUAUUUUUCCACUUUCUUCUUGCAAUGCCCAUAUUAAAAUGAAGAUUUUUAUAUAUUUUUUUUUUCAUCUUCUUAAUUCAUUUUCAUGGUGGAGCUGUAACCAAAUCCAACUCAUAUUUGUGGGAAUCCAGCAUCAAUGUUGUAUGAAGGUUUUAAAGGUGUGCACAGUUUUUUCUCUCCCUCCCCAAAUUUUACUUUCUCGGUAAUUUUUGUAAAGUGGAUUUGAGCUUGACACAACUGGCACCAUUUGGGAUGUAAUGACUUAUUCUCCUGGGAGGUGUUUAACCUUUUGCUCACCUUUCUCAAGUUGUGGGUUGAAAAACCUCAUUUUGAAUCAAAACCCCCUGAAAAGUCUUUGGAUUCAGUAGCACUUAAAUGCAGUGCUUUAUUUCCCUAUUUUUGUUCAACUGUUUUUCUUGGCUUAAACCACUCACCAGAUUUUUUUUGUCCAAUUUAAUGAAAAGUUUUGGCAUUCUGAAAGGGCAUCUUUUGCAGGACUAACUGUUAACUGAUUGUUUUUUCCUGUUACUGUUUACUACACUGAAUUUUUCACAUCAGUGCAGACCAUGGACAACCCCAGCUGGCCCUGCCCUGUGUGUAUAUUUAUAUAUAUUUAUUUAUAUAUAUUUAUACAUAGAAGUAUAUAUAUAUAUGCAGACUAUUCAGAACCUUCCAGGGGAAUUGUGGAUCCCUGGGUAGCAAAUUUUUGGCUCUAACAGCUGAACACCUUUUCUCCAUAUCUCUGUGCACCCCUUGAAGUCCCCACCCCCCAGAAGUUCACAGAGCACAGCUAAAAACUGCCUCAGGUUCACUUCCCCUUGCUCACAGAAUGUAGUAGUUCAGCCAAGACGUGCUGCCCCACUGGUGUUGCUUCAGUGGAGCAAGUCACAGCCAGAAAUAAAGGCAGGGUCUAUUUUUUUCUUCUGCAAGAAUGUUCAAAACAUGAAUUUCCAUGAGUUUCCAACAUAAGACCUAUAUCUGCAUGGUAAGUAGAGUCACUUUCACUUGCAAAUGAGAUUGGAUCUGCUAAAAAAUCUGCUAAUUUGCAAUAAAAAUAGCAUCCAUCUUUGCUCUGCAAAUAUAGCCUCUUUGAAAACUGUCCCAUUUUCAGAACUGCAGCAGCUUGUAGGAUGGGAGAAAGGAGAAGGAGGAAAUACCUUGCAUUUGAAGUCACUUCGUAUUUCUCCAGGACUAUUUCACACACCUUUAGUCAUUAUGUUGCGUUUUGUGUUGUCACAUUAAUUUUCACAGUAACAGACUGAUAUAAACAGUGUGACUGCACUGCAGAAGCAGGGGAAGCUGGAUUGAUUGGGAGGGAGAAGGAUUUGUUCAGACAUAAAUAUCUCCUGCCAUAUUGAGGGGAGUUAAAAAAAAAAAAAUGUCCAGCCAAGAAAUUGCUUUUUUGUAGGAAUGUUCUGUUUCUCUCUUUUUCUAUUUAUUUUUUUUUAAUUUCUUUUUAAUAUGUGCUUUAAUGUGAGAGACCAAGAACAAGGAGAAAGCAAGUGGCUGUUUCAUGAAUCUGGGAUGCUGAAUGCAGCUGCUCUUUCAGGAAACUGCAUUUGCAAAGAGCACACAGCAACACACAGUACCCUAAAAGAUGUGUGUGAAAGCAGCGAGCAAGAUUCAUUUCCCUAAAUCUUCUGGGCAACCCAAUGCCUAAGGGAAUCCCAGGGAGGGAGGACAGAGCCUGGGCCCCAAUCCAGUUUCUCAGUCCAGCCCUGUGCAGAGGCGUGAGGCAAACUGGAAGCUUCCCAGACACCCCAUCCCCAUCCCCUGCCCUUGGCCUGCGCGGGCAGAAGGAUGUCCCAGUGCUCAGACAAUGGUGGAGGAAGCGGCUCUGGCUGCGUUUCCCUUCUGCUCCCUGGGGAGCCGGGGAGAGCACACAAGCCAGGGCCAGAUUUAGCUCUUGGAUCCACAUGAAACAUCCAUGUGCCGACUGCUCCCUUCCUUCGUGCUCAGCCUCUUGUCACGGGAGUGGAAGUCGCACACAAGGGGAACAGAGGAGCCGGGUGAAUGUGCAGCAGGGAGAGCUGGGAACACAAUGAGGGGGAACAAAGAGUGGGGCUGUGUUUGCUGCCUUCCCAGUGCCAUUCACUCCUCGUGCUUGGAGCCGGUUUCCUCUUCUCAGGAGCCUCUUGACCUGCAGAUCCCUCUCCUCGGCAGACAGACACCAAAGCCCCGCGGCUGGAUCCUAAUACCUCUUCAGAUCAAACCAGCAAAACACUUGGAGCACAGAGCCUGAACCGUGUGUUUGUGUCGAGGCUUUAAGCUCCUUGGUGCUGGCACCCGGGGUUCCUGUUUGUUUUCCAACUCCUGAGGACAGCAGUGGUGCUCUCCAAGUCAGCAAAAACAAACCAAGAGAGGCUCAAGGAGCGCAGCAGCUUCUCCGAGCUCCGCCAUCCCUGGGACUGGGCUGUGCUCUUGCCAGUGGAAAGUGCCUCUGGCACUGAGUUGAGGUGUCAGCUCUGGCCUGCACCCCAAAAAUCUUACACACAGAAACCCAGCAGGACAAGGAACUUCCUCCAAAGAAGGACAUCAGUUGCCCUGUCUGUGCCACCAAGACCCAGCUUUGGAGGGGGCUGCUUUGACAGCGGCUGUAAAGCCCCAUCAGGUUUUCCCAGCCUGCUAUCAGUGAUGGAUUUUCAAGCCCUCUCUUUCUCCAGGCACUCUCAUUGCAGAGUGUAUGGGUGCAGAGUGUGGAGGUAUCGGGGCCUCUCAUUUGAUUAAGUUUAUAGAAUCACAGAAUUGUUUAGGUUGGAAAAGACCUCUAAGAUCACUGAGUCCAACUGCUCCCCCAGCAGUGCCAAGGCCAUCAUUAACUCUGUCCCUGAGUGCCACAUCUGUGCAUCUUUUACACUGAGCACAAGGCAGGAGACCCCUCUGAGCCUGCCUUCAGGCGACUCUAUCCCAUGGCAUCCCACCUCUCUGUAGUGCAGGGUCAGUGCAGCGGCGGCUCUGCGGAAGCGGGUCGGGAAACGGAUGCAUCCUGUAGCCACCGUGACCUUAAAACCCAUCGCUCGGUCAUCCAGCAAUAAAAAACGGGAGAAUUCCUUCCCAACAGCCGACUGCUGGUGCCCUUGGGAGCUGCCUUUUCCUCUUUGGACAGCCGGAGCUUCCGGCCAGCCAGGACUGUCUCAGUGUCAGCUGAGAUCCAGGAAUUUGUGUAAUCCACACCUGACACCUAAACCUGGGUUUUUCACAGCCAGGCAGAGUUUUAAACUCCUCUCCAUCAGCUGUGGCCUUCAGAGAUGAGCAGUGGCUAUAACUGAUUCAUCAAGACUCCUCUUAAUUUGGCUUUGCUCAGUUGUUACAAUACGUUUUGUUCCCGAUUAUUACGCUCCAGAGUGAAGGUUCCUGUAGGUAAUUUAUGCUGUAGCCUACGUAUGUGUAAAAAAUUUCUUGCAAUCGUGUUUUUAAUUAAAAUGCACACGAUAAUACCAAAAGGAGACAGGGGGAGGAAGGGAGGGAACCCAGAUUAAGUUUUUAAUUGUUUUAAUAGUGAGAUUUGUUUCAGUGAGAACAGGGCAUAUUGGUUUCCUUGGAAACAUUGGCGAUGUAUUAGCUGUAUAAAAUCUAGCAUAAAAGAUUUGUGAAAGUGAA